rnacentral:lncRNA from 1 species
UGUUACGGAGCUGCGGUGACGCUUCGACUGGCCGACUGGCAAUUUUUCAACAGCCUACAAUACGGCCGUUUGUGCUGUCUUCUUGGCGAGAACAGCGCUAUCCGAUGCCUCGUGAUUCAGCAUGAUCGCCUGCCAAUCGACGAUAAGCGUCUGCUGGUCAGCUUGUCCCGCAUGACCAGCCUACGGCACCUGUGCCUUCUGACGUGGAUGCUGGUCUCCAACAGCAUUGUGGUGUCGUUCGUGCGUCAGAUCAUCGCGCGCGCAGCUCAGCUGGAGUGCGUGCACAUUCACUACAGAGUUGGCGGA